GUGCUCACUUUGGCAGCACGUAUAUUAAAAUUGGAAUGACAGAGAAGAUUACCAUGGCUCCUGAACAAGGAUAACAUGCAAAUUCAUGAAGCAUUCCAUAUUUUU
ensembl:snRNA U6 U6 spliceosomal RNA